CACACACACGCACACCAUUUUCUCUCGGAUAGACAGAGCUCCAAAUGGCUACACAUGGAGCAACGCUGAGUGGCAGGAGGACACGGCACGAAAGCAACAGGCUCUGAAAAGACAUGAGCCACCCAGCAACUGUCCUUGUGCAGAGAGAGGGUGCUGCUGGGUCAUCGCCACCCAGUGGACUUUCAGUUAAAUCUUGGCCGCCUUGCCACCUCCUUGCUAGCCUGGCAGGGACAGGCCCCAUCUGAGCCGGGGCAGGCGUCUUGGGCCUCACUCUUUCUGCUGUUUCAAGUCAGCCUGAGGCCAGGGUGACAGAUGGGCUCUAGCUGUCCUGGAAGAGGACCCUGGAGGGAAGCCCAGGUCGUGUAUGCAAGACCCUAGGCACAGCCAGCGGGUCUCAGCCCUCUUCCCCUGGCUUCCCCUUAGUUAAGUUUUUUCUUCCUCUUUCCCUUGCUUUCAUGCAAUGUCCCUUCUUUCUUUGAUACUCUUUUUUCUCACUUUUUUUUUUUAAGUUUUACUGAAGUAUAGUGGAUUUACAAUGUUGUGCCAAGUUCUUUUUUUUUUUUUGUCUUUUUGCCAUUUCUUGGGCCGCUUCCACGGCACAUGGAGGUUCCCAGGCUAGGGGUCUAAUCAGAGCUGUAGCUGCCAGCCUAUGCCAGAGCCACAGCAACGCAGGAUCCGAGCCGUGUCUACAACCUACACCACAGCUCAUGGCAACGCCGGAUCGUUAACCCACUGAGCAAGAGCAGGGACCGAACCCGCACCCUCAUGGUUCCUAGUCGGAUUCGUUAACCACUGCGCCACAACGGGAACUCCCCAAGUUCUGCUCGCUUACCCAUUCUAAAGGUAACAAUUUGUAAUACGCUUAAAUAUGAAAUUUUUUGUCCCUCCCUUUGCUCUUGUUAUUAUUCCUUGGGUUCCCCCCUCCCUGCCCCACCACACUCAAAAACUCUUCCGACUUAUUUUUCUUUCUCUUGGGAAAAAAAAAGCACAAGCCACGCACACAUUCUGAAGGGUGGGAAAGCUGAGAAGUCAUAGGCUUUAGGAGCAAAGACUAACGCUGAAAAGCAGCUAAAUUUAGUAGCUUCCAAUACAAGGUGAGGCCUUACAAAAAAAAAAAAAAGAAAAAGAAAAAGAAAAG
rnacentral:lncRNA from 1 species